GUUUGCUUGAAGACAAAGCUAAAGUCAUACCCCCUCAAUCCUUUCAUGCGUCUCAAAC
rnacentral:sRNA from 1 species